rnacentral:rRNA from 1 species
GACGAACGCUGGCGGCGUGCUUAACACAUGCAAGUCGAACGGAAAGGCCCUGCUUUUGUGGGGUGCUCGAGUGGCGAACGGGUGAGUAACACGUGAGUAACCUGCCCUUGACUUUGGGAUAACUUCAGGAAACUGGGGCUAAUACCGGAUAGGAGCUCCUGCUGCAUGGUGGGGGUUGGAAAGUUUCGGCGGUUGGGGAUGGACUCGCGGCUUAUCAGCUUGUUGGUGGGGUAGUGGCUUACCAAGGCUUUGACGGGUAGCCGGCCUGAGAGGGUGACCGGCGACAUUGGGACUGAGAUACGGCCCAGACUCCUACGGGAGGCAGUAGGGGGGAAUAUUGCACAAUGGGCGGAAGCCUGAUGCAGCAACGCCGCGUGCGGGAUGACCGCCUUCGGGUUGUAAACCGCUUUCGCCUGUGACGAAGCGUGAGUGACGGUAAUGGGUAAAGAAGCACCGGCUAACUACGUG